rnacentral:rRNA from 1 species
CAGCCGUAAACUAAUGCUCGCUAGGUGUCAGGCAUGGCGCGACCGUGUCUGGUGCCGCAGGGAAGCCGUGAAGCGAGCCACCUGGGAAGUACGGCCGCAAGGCUGAAACUUAAAGGAAUUGGCGGGGGGAGCACCACAACGGGUGGAGCCUGCGGUUUAAUUGGACUCAACGCCGGGAAGCUCACCGGAUAGGACAGCAGAAUGAUUGCCGGGCUGAAGACCCUGCAUGACUAGCUGAGAGGAGGUGCAUGGCGUAGACGUCU